rnacentral:rRNA from 1 species
ACACUGACGUCGCGACGCAUAUCAAUAAGCGGAGGAAAAGAAACUAACAAGGAUUCCCUUAGUAACGGCGAGUGAAGCGGGAAGAGCUCAAAUUUGAAAUCUUCAAGGUUCUACCUUGACGAAUUGUAGUUUAAAGAAGUGUUUUCUGUUAGUGGAGUGGCAAAAGUUCUUUGGAAUAGGACAUCAUAGAGGGUGAGAAUCCCGUAUUUGGUCAUUCCUUCUAGCUUUGUGAUACACUUUCAAAGAGUCGGAUUGUUUGGGAAUGCAGUCCAAAAUGGGUGGUAAAUUUCAUCUAAAGCUAAAUAUUGGCGAGAGACCGAUAGCGAACAAGUACCGUGAGGGAAAGAUGAAAAGAACUUUGAAAAGAGAGUUAAACAGUACGUGAAAUUGUCAAAAGGGAAGCGUUUGACACCAGUGUUGUUUUUCCGAAAAUCAAUUAUAGAAUGGUUUGAUUUCUGAGUAGUGAUGACCUUCAUCAGCUUCCUGCAUCUCUUUCACGAAGUCUUUCUAAUGCACUUUUCGGUUAACAAGUCAACAUCAAUUUCUUUUGUUGUAAAAGAGUAUUCGGAAGGUGGCUUUCUUUUCGGAGAAAGUGUUUAUAGCCCUAUACUUCUACAAUCGGAGAGAUUGAGGUCUGCAGCGUAGAUCCUUCGGGGUUAGAUACACUUGUGCUAAGUUAUAGCUUUUCAUAGACAACUUGUUGACUAUGUUUAGUCUUGUAGCUUACUCGCUUGUGCUAUUUUACCUACGCUUAGGAUGUUGAGUCGUAGAGCACGCAG